CCGCGGCUCCCGCCCUUCUGGGCAUGUGCGGCGGGGGAAGGGCCACGCGCGGCCGGCGCGGGCGGCUCUGCGACGGGGCCGAGUGCAGGGCUGCGGGCGGGAGGUCCGGCGGAAGGUGGGUGUUGGGGGCGCGCCGCAGCCUUAAGGCUGGCGGGAGGGUCUGAGCGCGGCGUUAGCCGUCGGCCCUCGCCGGACGACUGUCGGUGCGGUGUCCCGUAACGGGGCUGGGCCACAGCCGGGGCUGUGAUCGGCAAAGCUUCUGUCGGAACGGCCGGAGGACGGAACCCGUUCGGGCGGCCGGAGGCAGCCCCGCGGAGUGCAGCUGCGUUGACAGAGCCUGAACUUCACACGGACGCUUUUACAGCCGCUGCAAGUCAUGCCUUUCAUCUCACAAGUUUUGUCGGUUUAAAAUACUUAUUUUUAAGAUGACGAGUACUUGAGACAGAACAGUAAGUCCUAGCCAUCGGUUCUGGUAAGUUCUUGGUUCAGGCUAUGGGAAGUAUCUUGCCUUGUGCUUACACUGAGUUUCUCAUUCACAAAAACAGUUUUGCAAAUACAGAUGGGCUUGAGCAUUGAUAUACAGCAAAAGGGACCCCAAAGUCUCCGCAGGGAAGGAGUUCUCCCAGUCUGUACAUAUUUCUGGGAUUUUCCUACCCCACGUACAACACCUGCAUUUGGCUUCAUUGAAUCUGCACGUGUGCCCACCUUUCAAGUUUACCAAGGUCCCUUUGGAUGGUAUCCUUUUCUUCUGCUGUAUCAACUGCAUCACUCAGCUUGGUGUCAUCAGAAAACUUGCUGAAGGCGCACUGUGGUCAUCUAUGUCAUUGAUAAAGAGCACUGGUCCUAAGAUAGACCCCUGGAUGACACCACUCAUCACUGGCCUUCAUCUGGACAGAGAUGUGUUGACAACCACCCUUUGGCUGCAAUUAUCCAAACAAUUCAUUAUCCACCGAAUAGUCCAGCCUUUUUAAGCUGUCUCUCUCCAAUUCAGAGAUAAGGAUAUGGUGUGGGACCAAAUCAAAGGCCUUGCACAAGUCCGGUAGAUGACACCAGCUGUCCUUAAAUUAGGUAGACAAAAUCAGUUGAAACUGAUGUUCAGUUUCACAAAAAAAGCAGCUACCAAUCUAACUUCUAUUGGAAAGCUCACCAGAACCAACUUUGUCUGCUCUCAGGAAUAUGCAUCAAGUCAAAGCAGGCCGCAUAGUUGCUCCGGGACAAAAACAAUCAUUUUAUGUUAUGUAUCUUUGAAUUUCUUCUCUUUUUAUUAAUGCAUGGAAUUAUGCAAACAUAAAUAAUAAACAGAAAAUCAUGCAGUCACGUCAAUGAAAA